AGUGAACGCUGGCGGUAGGCCUAACACAUGCAAGUCGAACGGCAGCACAGUAAGAGCUUGCUCUUACGGGUGGCGAGUGGCGGACGGGUGAGGAAUACAUCGGAAUCUACUUUUUCGUGGGGGAUAACGUAGGGAAACUUACGCUAAUACCGCAUACGACCUACGGGUGAAAGCAGGGGAUCUUCGGACCUUGCGCGAUUGAAUGAGCCGAUGUCGGAUUAGCUAGUUGGCGGGGUAAAGGCCCACCAAGGCGACGCUCCGUAGCUGGUCUGAGAGGAUGAUCAGCCACACUGGAACUGGGACACGGUCCAGACUCCUACGGGAGGCAGCAGUGGGGAAUAUUGGACAAUGGGCGCAAGCCUGAUCCAGCCAUACCGCGUGGGUGAAGAAGGCCUUCGGGUUGUAAAGCCCUUUUGUUGGGAAAGAAAAGCAGCAGGUUAAUACCCCGCUGUUCUGACGGUACCCAAAGAAUAAGCACCGGCUAACUUCGUG
rnacentral:rRNA from 1 species